rnacentral:rRNA from 1 species
UUGGGCGUAAAGAGAGUGCAGGCGGUUUUCUAAGUCUGAUGUGAAAGCCUUCGGCUUAACCGGAGAAGUGCAUCGGAAACUGGAUAACUUGAGUGCAGAAGAGGGUAGUGGAACUCCAUGUGUAGCGGUGGAAUGCGUAGAUAUAUGGAAGAACACCAGUGGCGAGGGCGGCUACCUGGUCUGCAACUGACGCUGAGACUCGAAAGCAUGGGUAGCGAACAGGAUUAGAUACCCUGGUAG